UGUAAGCCUAAGAGCUAAUCC
rnacentral:piRNA from 1 species